UUGAAAGAAAAUCAUACUCCCGCUAUUUUACAUAACAUCAACAGAUCAGCAGUUCCAGUUUAGCAACUCCUAUAAGAACUUAGCUCAUGUACAACAUUUCAAUAACUUGCAGGGGGAAUACAGAGAUAAUAGGUACAUCUUUAAAUAUGCCAUUAAACUGGACGGAAUGAUGGCGAAGAGAAUGCUGAAUCAGAGUACAGAUCCUUCAUUCAAUCAGAUUGUCUAGACAGAGUUUACCUAGGGGAACCAUAGAAACUGUGGUGAUAGGAACCUUCUUUGACGAUUGGGUUUCUCCUCUCUCUCUCUGACAAGGAUCUUCCAAAGCUAUGGCUUCUUGGCAUUGAAGCACUGUCCCUUGGGCUAUGAGAUGAAUAUCGUGGGUCAUAAGCCCCAUAUCUGUAAGAAUAGGUUGACAACAAGGGGCUAGUUCUAGGAUCACAACCAGGAGGUCCGUCAUCUUCAAAAUCCCUAGACCGACGCUGUUCAUGAUAAUGCCCUCUGUUGACAUAGUCUUGUGCAUGGUUAUAACGGUUGUGUGAAUGACUUCUCGAAUAACGCGAACUCGAAGGCGCAGCUUCCCAACGUCUUUCAUCAGCAUGUUCAGGUAUUGGGGCAUUUACACCUGGAAAAUCAACGGUCAUCUUCCUGGGCAGGUUUGGAAGGCUUUUAUCAAGAAUUUCCCCUUCCUCUGUUUCUUCCUUAUUUUUCUCAUCAGCAAAUAUUGUGAUUCCUGAGGGUUGAUCCUCGUCGUCUUCCAAAUAUCCUGGUGGAUAUCCCAUUUGCCUCAUUCUAUUAAUCCAGGGAGGUGGAUCAAGCUCCCCAAGGCCCAAAAGUUUUCGGGUUUCCGAAUCCAGGGCACCUGGUCUUAAACCAUCAUACUUUCCCCUCGGAGAAUCUUGAUAAUAUCGAGUUGGAUUGCGAGAACUGGCACUUUGAUUCCUUCUGGACUUGUGCUGUUUACGGGCACUAUUAACAGCUGCAUUAUCACGAGGCUUAGGGCAUUCUUUCAACGCGUGGCCAUAGGAACCACAAUUGAAACAUCGGGAACUAUCAACCAUUUCUAUUCCUCUUUCCACAUUGGUUGAACUAUCUGUUGCAGUCAAAGCAAAUGAAUAUCCACGAUCAUAAAGAGGAAUAGAGUUGCCGUCCAAUGGAAUAAACUCGCUCUUGUUGUUACUUGCUUGUUUGUCCACCCAAUAUGUCACUGCAGAAGGUUUCUCCAAACCAACAUGAAGAGCAGGGAAAUAUGUCUCUUCACCAGAUUCUAACAGUUCUCUUGAAUCCUGUGCUGAAGAACAAUGUUUGGCAUGCCACUCUGACCAUUGUUGUAGCAGCCCCUCAAGCAUCUUUCUACUCUCUCUUGUUAAAGAAUCAUAAACAACAUGCACUGACGGUUGCUCAACAUCAAGAGUUGCUCGAGGUCUCUUAACUCCAGAUAAGCAUUUGACACCACCAAUCUCCUGAGUGCUGACAUGAUCUUGAUCCUCUGUCUGAUUACUACUAUAGUUUGCGUCUGGCAAACUUAGAAGUCCAUUCUCAGCAUGUAUUACAGAGUCGACCAUAGUUACUUCUUCUGUUAUCCCAACUGUUUCUGCCAACUCAACACAAACUUGUGAUGGUGUUCCAGUCAAGUCAACACCAACUUGUGAGCCAGGGUCACUCUCCAAAUCCAUGUCACUAUCACUUUCACGUAAAGGUUCGUUGCUUUCACUGACUUCGAAAUUAGUGGUUUUGGAAGUGUCUCCAUUUGCACCAACUUCAAUAUUUUCAAUUCCUCUUUCAAGAUUAUCAGAUGCAGGAAGGUUGUUUGGAUCCUCAGUCCCCAUGAA
rnacentral:misc_RNA from 1 species